rnacentral:rRNA from 1 species
UACGAAGGGGGCUAGCGUUGCUCGGAAUCACUGGGCGUAAAGCGCACGUAGGCGGGUCCUUAAGUCGGGGGUGAAAUCCUGGAGCUCAACUCCAGAACUGCCUUCGAUACUGAGGAUCUCGAGUCCGGGAGAGGUGAGUCGGGAACUGCGAGUGUAGAGGUGAAAUUCGUAGAUAUUCGCAAGAACACCAGUGGCGAAGGCGGCUCACUGGACCGGUACUGACGCUGACUGCGCGAAAGCGUAGG